rnacentral:rRNA from 1 species
CCUACGGGUGGCAGCAGUGAGGAAUAUUGGUCAAUGGACGAAAGUCUGAACCAGCCAAGUCGCGUGAAGGACGACGGCCCUAUGGUUUGUAAACUUCUUUUGUAGGGGAGUAAAACUAUGCACGUGUCCCUAUUUGCAUGUACGGUAUGAAUAAGGAUCGUCUAACUCCGUUCCAGCCGCCGCGGUAAUACGGAGGAUACGAGCGUUGUCCGGAUUUAUUGGGUUUAAGGGGAGCGUAGAUGGUUAGUUAAGUCAGAUGUGAAAGUUUGCGGCUCAACCGGAAAAUUGCAUUUGAUACUGGCGAACUUGAGUGCAGAUGAGGUGGGCGGAAUGCGUGGUGUAGCGGUGAAAUGCAUAGAUAUAACGAAGAACACCGAUGGCGAAGGCAGCUUACUAAGCUGCAACUGACACUGAUGCACGAAAGCGUGGGUAUCAAACAGGAUUAGAUACCCGAGUAGUC